CACUGCGCCGUGCUCCCGACCGGGUUGCAGAAAUUACGUGCCUUUUCUCAUCUUCUAACCACUACCACCACCCUACCAACUUUGUGUGGGUUUCUUUUCCGCGUAGGGAAGAAACCUGCAGCUUGGUGCGCCAUUUUGUCUUAUUUCUUGCGUGAUGUACUGGAAAGACCGAGGGUCCGUGUAACACGCGUUCUGCUCGACGCUCCAGCCUAAACUCAGGUGCAAGCUUCAAUCGUCUUUGGUUCACAAGCCUGGUUUGAAGGGUCAACAGACACCUUCUGGCGUAGAUGGGUCAACUUCAAGCAUAUUAGGUCAUGGAUGUCACUGCAACUUUCACACUGCCAAGCGAGCAUGCAGGUGAAGAAAUCCUGGAGAGGAUGCCAGCAACACCUCAUCUAGCUGUUUUUGGU